UCUGGUUGAUCCUGCCAGUAAUAUAUGCUUGUCUCAAAGAUUAAUCCAUGCAUGUCUAAGUAUAAAUAGUAUACCUUAAAACUGCAAAUGGCUCAUUAAAACAGUUAUAGUUUAUUUGAUAAUGAAACGCUACAUGGAUAACCGUGGUAAUUCUAGAGCUAAUACAUGCUGAUAGCCCGGCUCACGUCGUGGUUGUAUUUAUUAGAUAUAAAACCGAUAUGUUAACAGCAUUUCGAAGGAAUAACAGUAACUGAUCGAAUCCCCGCCUGUCGAGGAUAAAUCAUUCAAGUUUCUGCCCUAUCAGCUUUCGAUGGUAGUGUAUUGGACUACCAUGGCGGUAACGGGUAACGGAGAAUUAGUGUUCGAUUCCGGAGAGGGAGCCUGAGAAACGGCUACCACAUCUAAGGAAGGCAGCAGGAGCGUAAAUUACCCAAUGUCGAUUCGAUGAGCGUAGUGACAAUACAUAACAAAGAGGGGAUUUAUUAUCUUACUCUAUUGCAAUGAGGCAUGUUUAAUAAACUGUUCGAGCAACCAGUGAAGGGCAAGUCUGGUGCCAGCAGCCGCGGUAAUUCCAGCUUCACGAGUGUAUGUUUAAGUUGUUGCAGUUAAAAAGCUCGUAGUUGAACUUCUGUGCGGCGUGUAGGCGCGCAUAACGCCUGCAAGCUACACAUUCGCCUGAAAAAUCAUUCGGAUCUUCACUGAUUCAAUGCUGGAUCAGGCAUUUUACUUUGAAAAAAUUAGAGUGUUCAAAGCAGGCUGAGGCCUGGAUACAUUAGCAUGGAAUAAUGGAAUAGGACGCUCCAUUUUGUUGGUUAUUGGUUAGCGUAAUGAUUAAUAGGGACAGUUGGGGGCAUUUGUAUUUAAUUGUCAGAGGUGAAAUUCUUGGAUUUAUUAAAGACAAACUUAUGCGAAAGCAUUUGCCAAGGAUGUUUUCAUUAAUCAAGAACGAAAGUUAGAGGAUCAAAGACGAUCAGAUACCGUCCUAGUUUUAACUAUAAACUAUGCCGACCCGGUCUUCGUCAAGUCUUUUUAACUUGAUGAGUCCCGUAUGAGAAAUCAAAGUCUUUGGGUUCCGGGGGGAGUAUGGUCGCAAGGCUGAAACUUAAAGGAAUAGACGGAACAUCACACCAGUUGUGGAUCGUGCGGCUUAAUUUGACCCAACACGGGGAAACUUACCAGCGCAAAACAAGGGUGGGAUUGACAGAUUGAGAGCUCUUUCUUGAUUCUUUGGAUAGUGGUGCAUGGCCGUUCUUAGUUGGUGGAGUGAUUUGUCUGCUCAAUUGCGUUAACGAACGAGACCUCAC
rnacentral:rRNA from 1 species